UCGACGAUGAUCUUCUAGCUUGCUAGAAGUGGAUUAGUGGCGCACGGGUGAGUAAUGCAUAGGUUAUGUGCCCUUUAGUCUGGGAUAGCCACUGGAAACGGUGAUUAAUACUGGAUACUCCCUACGGGGGAAAGUUUUUCGCUAAAGGAUCAGCCUAUGUCCUAUCAGCUUGUUGGUGAGGUAAUGGCUCACCAAGGCUACGACGGGUAUCCGGCCUGAGAGGGUGAUCGGACACACUGGAACUGAGACACGGUCCAGACUCCUACGGGAGGCAGCAGUAGGGAAUAUUGCUCAAUGGGGGAAACCCUGAAGCAGCAACGCCGCGUGGAGGAUGAAGGUUUUAGGAUUGUAAACUCCUUUUGUUAGAGAAGAUUAUGACGGUAUCUAACGAAUAAGCACCGGCUAACUCCGUGCCAGCAGCCGCGGUAAUACGGAGGGUGCAAGCGUUACUCGGAAUCACUGGGCGUAAAGAGUGCGUAGGCGGGGUAAUAAGUCAGAUGUGAAAUCCUGUAGCUUAACUACAGAACUGCAUUUGAAACUGUUACUCUGGAGUGUGGGAGAGGUAGGUGGAAUUCUUGGUGUAGGGGUAAAAUCCGUAGAGAUCAAGAGGAAUACUCAUUGCGAAGGCGACCUGCUGGAACAUUACUGACGCUGAUGCACGAAAGCGUGUGGAGCAAACAGGAUUAGAUACCCUGGUAGUCCACGCCCUAAACGAUGGAUGCUAGUUGUUGCCUUGCUUGUCAGGGCAGUAAUGCAGCUAACGCAUUAAGCAUCCCGCCUGGGGAGUACGGUCGCAAGAUUAAAACUCAAAGGAAUAGACGGGGACCCGCACAAGCGGUGGAGCAUGUGGUUUAAUUCGAAGAUACGCGAAGAACCUUACCUAGGCUUGACAUUGAUAGAAUCUA
rnacentral:rRNA from 1 species